rnacentral:rRNA from 1 species
AAUCAACGCUGGCGGCGUGCCUCAGACAUGCAAGUCGAACGAUUAAGACUUCCUUCGGGAAGUGCAUAAAGUGGCGCACGGGUGAGCAACACGUAAGUAAUCUACCCUCGAGUGGGGAAUAACGUUCGGAAACGGACGCUAAUACCGCAUAAUGCAGCGGCAUCGCAAGAUGACAGUUGUUAAAGGAGUAAUUCGCUUGAGGAGGAGCUUGCGGCAGAUUAGCUAGUUGGUAAGGUAACGGCUUACCAGGGCUACGAUCUGUAUCCGGUCUAAGAGGACGGUCGGACACACUGACACUGAAUAACGGGUCAGACUCCUACGGGAGGCAGCAGUCGGGAAUUUUGGGCAAUGGGCGAAAGCCUGACCCAGCAACGCCGCGUGAAGGAUGAAGUAUUUCGGUAUGUAAACUUCGAAAGAAUGGGAAGAAUAAAUGACGGUACCAUUUAUAAGCUCCGGCUAACUACGUGCCAGCCGCCGCCGUAACAC